rnacentral:rRNA from 1 species
UACGGGGGGGGCAAGCGUUGUUCGGAAUUACUGGGCGUAAAGGGCUCGUAGGCGGUGCGCUAAGUCAGACGUGAAAGCCCUCGGCUCAACCGGGGAAUGGCGUCUGAGACUGGCACACUUGAAUCCGGGAGAGGGAUGCGGAAUUCCAGGUGUAGCGGUGAAAUGCGUAGAUAUCUGGAGGAACACCGGUGGCGAAGGCGGCAUCCUGGACCGGCAUUGACGCUGAGGAGCGAAAGCCAGGGGAGCAAACGGG